rnacentral:rRNA from 1 species
AGAGUUUGAUCCUGGCUCAGGAUAAACGCUGGCGGCGUGCCUAACACAUGCAAGUCGAACGCUCUCGGGCAACUGAGAGAGUGGCGGACGGGUGAGGAACACGUGGGUAUCUGCCUUUCGGUGAGGAAUACCGGCGAGAAAUCGCCGACAAAACCGCAUAGCCUUGGCAACAAGGAAAGUCGCAAGACGCCGAGAGAUGA